ACAGAGUUCAUGCCCUUCGGGGUAGACCUCCCACCCUUUGUAUACCGUGCCUUUGUUGCUUUGGCGGGCCGCCUUCUGGCCACCGGCCCCGGCUGGUGCGCGCCCGCCAGGGAACCCCAAACCCUGUCUUACAGUGUCGUCCGAGUACUAUAUAAUAGUUAAAACUUUCAACAACGGAUCUCUUGGUUCUGGCAUCGAUGAAGAACGCAGCGAAAUGCGAUAAUUAAUGUGAAUUGCAGAUUUUAGUGAAUCAUCGAAUCUUUGAACGCACAUUGCGCCCCUUGGUAUUCCGGGGGGCAUGCCUGUUCGAGCGUCAUUUCAACCCUCAAGCUCUGCUUGGUCUUGGGCCGCGCCGGCAACGGCGGGCCUCAAAAACAGUGGCGGCGCCAUCGUGUCCCUCAGCGUAGUAAUUCUUCUCGCUGUUGGGCCCCGGUGGCCGCUGGCCAGCAACCCCCAAUUUUUCUAUGGUUGACCUCGGAUCAGGUAGGGAUACCCGCUGAACUUAA
rnacentral:rRNA from 1 species